rnacentral:lncRNA from 1 species
GGGGAUCUAGGAUAGAAGACUGGCAGGAACGGAUGUAAUGGAGGGUCAUGUGAGGGCUUCAAGGGACAUAAUUAUAUAAGAACUUUGGAAUUGGAUGGCCAUUUCUUCUAGCUACUAAUGCAUUAAAGAAAAAUAGUGGAAGGCUGAGGUCAUUAAUCACCUAUGUAAGAUGAAGUGUGAAACCAGAGGCUCUCCUUUGCAGCAUACAAAGAGACUCUCAUUGCCUAUAGCUGGAGGGCAGAAAAGGCAGGUACUGGAGCAGGACUUAAUUAUUUUAGAAGUAGCAGAGUUCCAAAGAAAACGGGAUUCUCUGUCAUGUCUGAUCUGCUGUACAAAAGUCAGGGCAAAGAGUGGCAAGGAUUGGCAAGGAGUGGGCCCCUGAGAUUUGGAAUGAGGACCUCUGGAUCAAUGAACUCAAAAUCCUUUGGGUCAAUGCACUAAAAAUUCCUCUGAAUCCUUUGAGCCUACAGAAGUAGUUUAUUUCUCUCUGCUAAAGGAUAGCGCUCUCCCUGUCUUGAAGAUUCUUGGAGAUUCUCUCUUUAGGACAAUUCAUGCUCUUCAUAGGAUCUAUUCCCAUUUCUUCUCCUGGCUAAAAAGCCAAUGUCUAGAAUCAAGUCAACAAGUUUUCCCAAGUUGACUUUCCCAAGUUGACUUUCCCAAUUCUGGGAAACAGACUAUGGGAUUGCUGGAUCAAAGAUCAUUAAAUAAAGUUGGAUAACAGUUUAUCCGUAUGGGACCACUAUCCCAUGAUACAAGAUUUAACACCUGUUAGACAUCUUUAGAUCAUUAGAAAUGAUUCUUUUAAGCUGCUUGGUUGCCUCUUGGCAGCCUGAAGACUGAUGGUCCACUCUAUGUGAAGUGGAAAUGCUAGAACUAUCAUGGCAAAUGAUGGAGGAAGGGAUCAAAAGGCUAAGCAAAGUGGGGCAUAUUAGAGUGGAUAUUCUAUAUAAUGCCAGAAAAGAUGAAUGUACUUUAGAGUUAGCAGAACCUCUAUAUUGCUGUCAGGGAAUGGAUUUUACUUUUCUUACAAGCUAAUAAAUCAACCUGUUAUUGUUCCAUGGAUGCUGAUAGUAUAUGAGACUCCUGAGUCAGAAACAAAGGACUUUAUUAUAGCACAGUAAGCAAACAGCAUGAGCAGCAUAUUUAUCUCAGUUCCCCUUGCUUUUCAACUCCCAAGGGGGCAAUGUGGAAGGUCCAGAUGAAUACCUGUAUGCAGUGGGUUUUGUUACAGGAAAUCACUGAGUUUGGGGAAUCUACCAUUAAUAUAAUAAGCAGUAUGCAAACCUAUUCUUUGUCCUGGUGGGAGAUAUUAGCUCAUGUCUCAAAGUUCCUUGUUGCAAACAAAACUCUUGAGAAAUCUCCUGGAUAGACAGAAGUUGAGACCUUGGCAUAGGUCUUGGAAUACCCAACAAAAUUGUCAGGGAUAUUCAGAACUCAUGGCAGAUUCCCUUUCCCAACAAUUUGUUCUUUUUCCUGUUGGAUAAAUGCUAUUAUAGUGAGAAAGGUUGAGUAAAGCCUCUGAAACUGUUCCAUUCUGCCCAUCCAAGACAAUAAAUGAAAAAUAACAUUGCACCUAUGGGAUAAUGGCAGAGAUGAAAGCCAGUCUUAAAGACUUAAAUGCAAAAAAACAAAACAAAACAAAACAAAAAACAAAAA